rnacentral:rRNA from 1 species
AUUGAACGCUGGCGGAAUGCUUUACACAUGCAAGUCGAACGGCAGCACGGACUUCGGUCUGGUGGCGAGUGGCGAACGGGUGAGUAAUGUAUCGGAACGUGCCCAGUCGUGGGGGAUAACGUAGUGAAAAUUACGCUAAUACCGCAUACGAUCUAUGGAUGAAAGCGGGGGAUCGCAAGACCUCGCGCGAUUGGAGCGGCCGAUAUCAGAUUAGGUAGUUGGUGGGGUAAAGGCCCACCAAGCCAACGAUCUGUAGCUGGUCGGAGAGGACGACCAGCCACAGUGGAACUGAGACACGGUCCAGACUCCUGCGGGAGGCAGCAGUGGGGAAUUUUGGACAAUGGGCAAAAGCCUGAUCCAGCCAUUCGGCGUGCAGGAUGAAGCCCCUCGGUUUGUAAACUGCUUUUGUACAGAACGAAAAGGUUUCUACUAAUACUAGGAGCUCAUGACGGUACUGUAAGAAUAAGCACCGGCUAACUACGUGCCAGCCGCCGCGGUAA